rnacentral:rRNA from 1 species
GACGAACGCUGGCGGCGUGCUUAACACAUGCAAGUCGUACGGUAAGGCCCUUUCGGGGGUACACGAGUGGCGCACGGGUGAGUAACACGUGAGUAACCUUCCCACAACUUUGGGAUAACGCUAGGAAACUGGUGCUAAUACUGGAUAUGUGCUCCUUCUGCAUGGUGGGGGUUGGAAAGCUCCGGCGGUUGUGGAUGGACUCGCGGCCUAUCAGCUUGUUGGUGGGGUAGUGGCCUACCAAGGCGGCGACGGGUAGCCGGCCUGAGAGGGUGACCGGCAACAUUGGGACUGAGAUAAGGCCCAGACACCUACGGGAGGCAGCAGUGGGGAAUAUUGCACAAUGGGCGCAAGCCUGAUGCAGCAACGCCGCGUGCGGGAUGACGGACUUCGGGUUGUAAACCGAUUUCAGCAGGGACGAAGCUUUUUGUGACGGUACCUGCAGAAGAAGCACCGGCUAACUACGUG